AAAUGGCUGGGUUAUUUUUUAACCCAAAAUGCUGGGUUGAGUCUGUUGGGUUGUUUUGCUGGGUUAUUUUUUUUACAUUUUAAACACUUUUUGGGUAGUUUCAGUUUUCUAGGUGUUGGGUUAAAACUGCUGGGUUAUUAUGUUGGGUUGUUUGAAGAGGCUCACGUGCUUCGCGCCCUUGAUGUUUGAAUGUGCUCAGCAAUGGUCGUCGUGAAAGGACAGAGUCACUGAAGCAGUUGUUUCAAGAUUGUGCAGAGUUUUAACGUCCAUCCAUUGAUGAGGCUAGCAAGACCUUCAUACAACUUCAGCCAAUUGCAACAAAUGUGGUGGAAUUUCUUCUCUGGACAGAAUCCUCGAAACCCUUUCCUUUCGUCCUGGCCAUGGGAAACAUGCAGCAGAUCUCUCAAUCUUUUUUCUCAAUCAGUCUCUCUGAAUACGGAAGUGACUUAAACUGCAAUUCGGCCAAGAUGGCGACGGCACGCACCGCCUACUUUAAGCUUCAAAAAUGCUCUUCACAAACCAAUGGGUGACGUCACAGACACUACUUGCAUAUUUUUUACAGUCUCUGGUUUAAAGGCAUUUUAAGUGCUUAAAAAAAUAAAUACCCCAGGCAAUGUG